GGGGUCCUCGGGACGCAGCAGUGGGGAAUAUUGGGCAAUGGGCGCAAGCCUGACCCAGCGACGCCGCGUGAGGGAAGACGGUCAUCGGAUUGUAAACCUCUUUCAGCAGGGAAGACAAAAGGACGGUACCUGCAGAAGAAGCCACGGCUAACUACGUGCCAGCAGCCGCGGUAAUACGUAGGUGGCAAGCGUUAUCCGGAAUUACUGGGUGUAAAGGGUGUGUAGGCGGGUUUGCAAGUCAGAUGUGAAAAUUAUGGGCUCUACCCAUAACCUGCGUCUGAAACUACAGAUCUUGAGAGUGGGAG
rnacentral:rRNA from 1 species